UACGGAGGGGGCAAGCGUUGUUCGGAGUUACUGGGCGUAAAGGGCGCGUAGGCGGUGCAACAAGUCAGGCGUGAAAGCCCCGGGCUUAACCUGGGAAUUGCGCUUGAUACUGUUGCGCUAGAGAUCGGGAGAGGAUGGCGGAAUUCCCAGUGUAGAGGUGAAAUUCGUAGAUAUUGGGAAGAACACCGGUGGCGAAGGCGGCCAUCUGGACCGCAUCUGACGCUGAGGCGCGAAAGCGUGGGGAGCAAACAGG
rnacentral:rRNA from 1 species